rnacentral:rRNA from 1 species
CCUACGGGAGGCAGCAGUGAGGAAUAUUGGGCAAUGGGCGAAAGUCUGAAGCAGCAACGCAGCGUGAGUGAUGACUGCCUUCGGGGUGGUAAACUUCUUUUAUAGGGAAGUAAAACAGGGUAUGCAUACACUCUUGUAUGUACCGUAUGAAUACGGAUCGGCUAACUCCGUGCCAGCAGCCGCGGUAAUACGGAGGAUGCGAGCGUUAUACGGAUUUAUUGGGUUUAGAGGGCGCGUAGGUGGAGUGUUAAGUCAGUUGUGAAAGGUUGCGGCUCAACCGUAAAAUUGCAGUUGAAACUGGAAGUCGUGAGUACAGUAGAGGUAGGCGGAAUUCGUGGUGUAGCGGUGAAAUGCUUAGAGAUCAGGAAGAACCCCAGUUGCGAAGGCGGCUUACUAAACUGUGACUGACAUUGAUGCUCGAAAGUGUGGGUAUCAAACAGGAUUAGAUACCCUUGUAGUC